GUUGGUGAGGUAACGGCUCACCAAGGCGACGAUCCCUAGCUGGUCUGAGAGGAUGACCAGCCACACUGGAACUGAGACACGGUCCAGACUCCUACGGGAGGCAGCAGUGGGGAAUAUUGCACAAUGGGCGCAAGCCUGAUGCAGCCAUGCCGCGUGUAUGAAGAAGGCCUUCGGGUUGUAAAGUACUUUCAGCGGGGAGGAAGGUGUUGUGGUUAAUAACCGCAGCAAUUGACGUUACCCGCAGAAGAAGCACCGGCUAACUCCGUGCCAGCAGCCGCGGUAAUACGGAGGGUGCAAGCGUUAAUCGGAAUUACUGGGCGUAAAGCGCACGCAGGCGGUCUGUCAAGUCGGAUGUGAAAUCCCCGGGCUCAACCUGGGAACUGCAUUCGAAACUGGCAGGCUUGAGUCUUGUAGAGGGGGGUAGAAUUCCAGGUGUAGCGGUGAAAUGCGUAGAGAUCUGGAGGAAUACCGGUGGCGAAGGCGGCCCCCUGGACAAAGACUGACGCUCAGGUGCGAAAGCGUGGGGAGCAAACAGGAUUAGAUACCCUGGUAGUCCACGCCGUAAACGAUGUCUACUUGGAGGUUGUGCCCUUGAGGCGUGGCUUCCGGAGCUAACGCGUUAAGUAGACCGCCUGGGGAGUACGGCCGCAAGGUUAAAACUCAAAUGAAUUGACGGGGGCCCGCACAAGCGGUGGAGCAUGUGGUUUAAUUCGAUGCAACGCGAAGAACCUUACCUGGUCUUGACAUCCACGGAAGUUUUCAGAGAUGAGAAUGUGCCUUCGGGAACCGUGAGACAGGUGCUGCAUGGCUGUCGUCAGCUCGUGUUGUGAAAUGUUGGGUUAAGUCCCGCAACGAGCGCAACCCUUAUCCUUUGUUGCCAGCGGUCCGGCCGGGAACUCAAAGGAGACUGCCAGUGAUAAACUGGAGGAAGGUGGGGAUGACGUCAAGUCAUCAUGGCCCUUACGACCAGGGCUACACACGUGCUACAAUGGCGCAUACAAAGAGAAGCGACCUCGCGAGAGCAAGCGGACCUCAUAAAGUGCGUCGUAGUCCGGAUUGGAGUCUGCAACUCGACUCCAUGAAGUCGGAAUCGCUAGUAAUCGUGGAUCAGAAUGCCACGGUGAAUACGUUCCCGGGCCUUGUACACACCGCCCGUCACACCAUGGGAGUGGGUUGCAAAAGAAGUAGGUAGCUUAACCUUCGGGAGGGCGCUUACCACUUUGUGAUUCAUGACUGGGGUGAAGUCGUAACAAGGUAACCGUAGGGGAACCUGCGGUUGGAUCACCUCCUUACCUUAAAGAA
rnacentral:rRNA from 1 species